rnacentral:rRNA from 1 species
AUGGUGGCGGCUCUGGUGCAUCUGCUGGUCGCCUUCAGCGCCGCCGUGUUGGCCGCUGCCGGCGGCGAGCAGCCGCUGUCGAAGAUCGGCGUCCACCGGGCCACCUUGGCGAUCCAUCCGGGCGCCUCCGUCGACGUCUCGCCGCUCCUCCUCGGCCUGCAGGGGCAGGACCAAGAAUGGGUGACCAUCGGGUUUAACAACCCCAGGCCAUCCAAGGAUGACUGGAUUGGGGUCUUUUCCCCUGCUAAUUUCAGUGACUCCAUUUGCCCGUCGGAGAACCAAUGGGUCGAGGCCCCUCUUUUGUGCACGGCUCCUAUUAAGUUCCAAUAUGCAAACUACACGACGGCCGACUAUGCCAAGACCGGAAAGGGGUCCUUGAGGCUUCAGAUAAUUAAUCAGAGGAGUGAUAUAUCAUUCGCAUUGUUUUCUGGAGGCCUCUCAAAUCCGAAGCUUAUCACACGUUCAAAUAGCAUAACUUUCGCAAACCCGAAGGCUCCUGUAUACCCACGCUUGGCACAAGGAAAGUCCUGGGAUGAAAUGACAGUGACAUGGACAAGUGGAUAUAGUACCAAGGAGGCUACACCGUUUGUUGAAUGGGGCAUACAAGGGCAAAUCCAAAUCCUUUCUCCUGCAGGCACCCUUACGUUCAGUCGCGACACUAUGUGUGGUCCGCCUGCUAGGACAGUUGGAUGGCGCGAUCCUGGUUUCAUACAUACAAGUUUCUUCAAGGACCUAUGGCCUAAUCUUAAGUACACGUACAGGAUUGGCCAUCGGCUAUUCAAUGGUCAAAUUGUUUGGGGACGUCAGAAUAGCUUCAAAGCACCUCCCUAUCCUGGGGAGGAUUCUUUGCAACGUGUUGUCAUAUUUGGAGAUUUGGGCAAGGCCGAGAUUGAUGGCUCAAACGAAUACAAUGACUUUGAGCGUGGUUCAAUCAACACAACUUACCAGCUAGUUAAGGACUUGAAGAAUAUCGAUAUGGUGAUGCAUAUCGGAGACAUCUGCUACGCCAGUGGUUAUCUGUCACAGUGGGAUCAGUUCACUGCACAGGUUGAACCCAUUGCCUCUACUGUACCUUACAUGGUGGCAAGCGGUAACCAUGAAAGAGACUGGCCUGGAUCAGGAUCCUUUUAUGGGACUUUGGACUCGGGCGGCGAAUGCGGCGUGCCAGCUCAGAACAUGUUCUAUGUGCCGGCAGAGAACCGUGAGCAGUUCUGGUACUUGACGGACUACGGGAUGUUCCGGUUCUGCGUAGCCAACACGGAGCUGGACUGGCGGCCAGGCACCGAGCAGUACAAGUUCAUCGAGCACUGCUUGUCAUCCGUGGACCGGCAGAAGCAGCCGUGGCUCAUCUUCCUCGCCCACCGCGUCCUGGGCUACUCGUCGGCCACCUUCUACGGCGCCGAAGGGACGACGGAGGAGCCCAUGGGGAGGGAGAGCCUCCAGCUCCUCUGGCAGAAGUACAGGGUCGACAUCGCCAUGUACGGCCACGUCCACGGCUACGAGCGAACGUGCCCAGUAUACGAGAACGUGUGCGUGGCUAAGGGGUCGGACCGGUACAGCGGCGCGUUCACGGCGACGACGCACGUGGUGGUGGGCGGCGGCGGGGCGAGCCUGGCGGAGUACACGGCGGAGCGGGCGCGGUGGAGCCACGCGCAGGACCUGGACUACGGGUUCGCCAAGCUGACGGCGUUCAACCACACCACGCUGCUCAUGGAGUACAAGCGGAGCAGGGACGGCAGCGUGCGCGACAGCUUCACCGUCUCGCGCGACUACCGCGACGUCCUCGCCUGCGGCGUCGACAACUGCGCCGCCACCACCAUGGCGUCUUAG